AUCUAGAUAUAAAACCAAACAAAAAUAUAGAAGAUGAAUGCAUAGAUUA
rnacentral:misc_RNA from 1 species